AGCUUGGGAACUCCCCAGGCUGAGGCCUUGGGAGGCUGGAGAGCAAAUGGAGACCGAAGAGUUAAAAAGCACUUCCUGAAGGUGAGAAGAGGAGUCACUUAUGAGCAGCCAUCUAGGCAAACAGGCUGGCACAGACAGGGCUGUAUGGAGGAGUCUGAAGGAAUUGGGCCUUCUAGACCCAGGGAAUGCUUCUGUGCAACGGUAUUGCUAAGGAAGGGGAGCGAAUGAGAGCAACGUCUUGAGCCACGAUUGCACGCAGACAUCAUUGCAAGCAGCUGCUCACAGCUCUGCCGAAGGACCUCAGUCCAGACCUG